rnacentral:snRNA from 1 species
AGCUUUGCACAGUGGUAGUAUCGUAGCCAAUGAGGUUUAUCUGAGGCACGAUUAUUAAUAAUUAAAUCGACAGGCCAAUGUCCCCCAAAACAAAGUUCAAGAGUAGGAUCAGGGUUUAUUUAGAUAAGUCAGCAUCAAACACU